ACCCGGCUAGCUCAGUCAGUGGAGCAUGCGACUCUUGAUCUCAAGGUUGUGAGUUUGAGUCCCACAUUGGGUG
rnacentral:tRNA from 1 species